GCGCGUAGCUCCGCCCACCCGCUUCCUGCUCGUCAAACCGACAACUCUACAGCUGUUUGAGCAUCUUCCAAACUAAACGUGUUUUCUUGGGAAUAUUGUUUUAGUUUUUCCGUUGUCCUCCAUCACGUGACAUCGUUUUAGCGGGAAAACAAAUAUCAAUGGAUUGUGCAAUCCUCCACCUUCCCAAACAGUGAGAAUCGAUCUGUGAGGUCCGACGGCGACAUGCUUCCACGGAUUCCUCCCACAUACACCACCCUGCGCUCCUCCUGAGGAUCAAACCCAUCAUCAGUGGCAACAGCGUUCAUUUACCUUUUUCUGGGUGGUGAACGAGACCUGGAAUGAGAAGAUGAUGAUGAAGACGAUGAAGAACACGAGGAGCAAGACCUCGAGCUGGAGCGCCGGUAUCCGCCAUCAUAACCCCGCCUCUU